GAUGAACGCUGGCGGCGUGCCUAAUACAUGCAAGUCGAGCGAACGGACGAGAAGCUUGCUUCUCUGAUGUUAGCGGCGGACGGGUGAGUAACACGUGGAUAACCUACCUAUAAGACUGGGAUAGCUUCGGGAAACCGGAGCUAAUACCGGAUAAUAUUUUGAACCGCAUGGUUCAAAAGUGAAAGACGGUCUUGCUGUCACUUAUAGAUGGAUCCGCGCUGCAUUAGCUAGUUGGUAAGGUAACGGCUUACCAAGGCAACGAUGCAUAGCCGACCUGAGAGGGUGAUCGGCCACACUGGAACUGAAACACGGUCCAGACUCCUACGGGAGGCAGCAGUAGGGAAUCUUCCGCAAUGGGCGAAAGCCUGACGGAGCAACGCCGCGUGAGUGAUGAAGGUCUUCGGAUCGUAAAACUCUGUUAUUAGGGAAGAACAUAUGUGUAAGUAACUGUGCACAUCUUGACGGUACCUAAUCAGAAAGCCACGGCUAACUACGUG
rnacentral:rRNA from 1 species